GGUUGUGAUAAGGUGGACUUCAAUGAUCUGGUUUUUUGCACUUCACUUGGUGGUAUUAAUAUUUGAAUGCUGUUCUUAGGGUUCAAAAAAACAGAUCAUUGAAGUCAAAAAGCUGUUCAAAAAACCAGAUCAUUGAAGUCCACCUUAUCACAAC
rnacentral:miRNA from 1 species